GUGCUCGCUUCAGCAGCAUAUAUGCUAAAAUUGGAACGAUAGAGAGAAGAUUAGCCCAGCCCCUGUGCAAGGAUGACACGCAAAUUUGUGAAGCAAGAUCCAUUUGA